ACCAUAAAUGUUUAUUUUCCCAAUUCUAGUGUUCUCAUUGCCGUAGUUUUCGGAAAUAUAAAUUUGAAUGAAAUUAACAUUCUUGAACUUGACCAUUUUUAAAUCAAUGCAUUCUCCGCUAAUUAGCUGGCUCUUUGUCAGCUCAAAUUCUUGUGUUCCGUUUUCUAUUUCUGCAUCUCCUAUACUGUAAGAAGUGGCGUCGGCGAAAAGUUUAAUUUUUU
rnacentral:antisense_RNA from 1 species